rnacentral:sRNA from 1 species
AUGAACAACGAACCGGAAACAGGAAGUUGGAGCAGGAAGCCAGGGAUAACUGAAGGGACAGUCCAGAAAAAGGGGCAGAUACAUGCGCGUGUGGAUUCCAAAAUGUGUGCAAGAGAAGAAGACUGAUGCUUGAAUGUAACCUUGGUGUACCUAUACGUGUGACCACAUGAGCUGUCUAUUUUAAGAAAAAAUGCUUUAAAGGAAAAGGGGCAAAGACAUGGAAACAAAAAGACAAUGAGAAGAGAGACAUCUACCAGUAAAAAUUGGUAACAUGUCCAAAGCCAGGAAGUGGAUAAUGAUAUGUGCUCAACACACAGGACCACUAAAUACCUCAGCAUGCACUUGAUCAAGCUGAAACAGCUAAGGAAGUAGGACAGGAAUUGAGUUCUGGGGCCUGGGAACAUGAACUCGGUUUCUUGAUCCUGCCAGACAAGUGGAAUUUCUUCCUGCGAUGGCUGAACUCAGGAAACAGUCUCCUAACAGCAAGCUACCCGAAAUGCAGGGACAAAAAAUGGAGCAGAGACUGAAGAAAAGG